ensembl:lncRNA
GCCUUCCUGGACAGCAUUGGCAGGUGGGCACCUUCUGCCCCAUCGUUCCCUUCCUGUGACUGCAAAGAUAGCUCCGUUCCAUCUUCUGUUGUCUUCUGCUUUCCAACGUGGAGGGCUCAGCCAUUGCAUCUUCCACUGAAGGACAAAAGAGAGUUCGGAGUGGUCUGCGUUGUUGAUAUUUCAUCAGAGAUAGCGAGAUAUCAAGGCUUUGCAUUUGGUUUUCCUGAACUUCAUGAGGUUUCUGCCAGCCAGCCCAAGUCCUCCUGAAUUGUAGCCCUGCCAUCUGGCCUAUUGACUGCUUCUCCU